AUGCAGAAGCCUCUGCAUGUGUUGAUUGUUCUUUUCUCCGUGGCAGUGGCUCUGGCCAGAGCUCAGGUACACCAGGAGCCAUUCCUGGAGACCACCGAGGGCAUCGGCAUCAACAUCACCUGCUCACACUCCAAAAUCCAGACCAGUGAUUGGAUCCAGUGGUACCGCCAGCUCCCUGGCCGAGAACCCGAAAUCCUCGCAGUCAUAAUGAAAGAUUCCAAAGAGCUGCCGGACAGUGCGGGCCGUGUGUGGGUGUCGGCAGAUCGGCGUGGGAGCGCGCUGUGUCUCGGGCGGCCCCGGCGCGGGGACGCGGCCGUGUAUUACUGCGCGCUGGGGCCACGGGCAGAGGAGCCGGGGCUGCGGCCGGGCACGAACCGCCGCGGGCGGGGCCGGGCGGGGCCAGCAGGGGGCGCUGCCGCUCCGCCCGCCGCGCUCCCGCGGUUCCGAUCUGCAAAGGACCCGGCCCCCCUCACCUUCCCCCUGACAGGCACUGAUCCUUUCCCUGCACAUCAGUAACACCUCACGCGUCCCGAAAAGCAAACACAAGGGUUUAGCAACGCUGCAAGUGUCAGAGGGAGACACUUGAAAGACAGGGCUCCAUAUGAUGUUUCU